UUAUUUGCGCGCCUGCAUGCAAUGCAAUGAGUGGAAGUUCGGAAGUGAGUCUGGUUUUGCGCCGUCAUCUCGCUAAAAACAAACUACUUACUAUAAAAAAACCAACUACGUGUUAUAUCUGUUUGCAUUGGUUGAGUGUGUUUUUUCUCACAAGUUUGUUACACAGUGAUACGAAUAGUCUUAUAGUUACAGUGGUUUAAUAAAAAUCUAUAAACAGUUGUGCAGUUUUCAAGUCAAAACUUAACCUAUUGUCAGGAAGGUCUUUUAAAUUGCAAAAAAAUAAAACUCUCGACCAGAAAACGGCUUUUCUUCAAGUAAAGUUAAGUGAUAUAAUCCGACGGUAACCAUGGAUAAAUUAUAUUAAAUAAUAUAUUUCUAACGCAAAUUUAUUUUAUAUAUCUCGAUUUCCCGUUUGUCAUUCAUCUAGUACCUAACCUUCGUUGAAACGUUGAAAAUUUAAUAAAUUCGCGAUAAACACACAAAAUUACAAAUUAUGACUAACUUUGGUGUUCAAAACGCAAAACAAAAAUGUUAAACAGUGGCCUAGUUUAGGUAAUAAACUUUAUAUAAAGUGUAGGUAUCAAGUUUAUUUCAAAAUGGGCAGAGUAAGAAGGAAAGCGAGAAUAGUGUCGACACAAUUUGCGAGGGACCUCCUUGCUGGCAAGAGGCCGAGGGACAUCGACAUGGGGGCUACUCCAACAAUUAUCAUCAUGGUGAUCGCAUUACUCCUGCUAUGUUGCUGCGUUGCAAAACUCGCGAGCAGGGACGACGAUGAGAUCCAAGUGAAUCAACGAAACAACGAAACGGCUGCCGCUCCAAUGAUCACUGAGGAAGAAAGUCAAGUUUAACAUCCCGGAAUAGCUAUAGUAGGACUACAACAAUUACGCGUGCAAUAUUCGUAAUCUGUUGCUGCUUGGUGAAACUCGCGGACAGCGAAGACGAUGAAAAUCAAGCGAAUCAACCAAACAACGAACCAGCUGCCGCUCCAAUGAUCACUGUGGAAGAAAGUCAUGUUUAACUCCUCGGAACAACUACAAAGAUGAAC